UAGAGAAUUCUACACAGAAUAAUAAGUGGCCAAUUGCGUCUGUUUGCUCUCCAACAAACCUCAGGAUUAGAGGCAUUUUCUUGUCAGAGGCAUAAACUAUUUUUAUGUUUGCAGGGACAGAGAAGGAGGGGGAGGGAAUAGAGAAAGAGGUGUGGGGUGCAGAUAUGAAAAGAGCAUACUAAUGCUGUGUGGUGACAGGUUUCUCCCUGUUUCCUUCCUAUAAGAUGAGAUGAGAAGGGAAGGGGGGGAAAAGGAGGGGAAAAAGAGAUGCUCUUAAAAAGAAACUCAGGCACCCUUAACUAAUGAAGGAGAACAUGAUAGAGAGAGGCAGAGAAAGACAGAGGCAGAUCAUUUCUAGUCCAGUUAACUGGGAGUGCUGACAUUUGUAGCAGCGGGCCAGGCGAGGUGAAAAAUCCGGGUGGCACUUAGUUGGGUGAGCUGAAGUGAAAUGUUUUGGAAAGCUCUCUGGGUUUUUAGUUUUUUUGUGUCUCUUUUAGAUUAAUCGACAAACACUCAUCUCCUAAUUUCUUCUUCCUGCUCUGAGCCGUGGAGAACAUAACCCUAGUGUGCAAUGAUGUCAUUAUGAUACCAUCUGUUUGUUGCACAGGCAGACGCAACAUACGCACACAUUCAUUCACACACAUGCACAAGAUAGCAAUGGAUCAGAUAACACACAGAGUGAGAGAACCUAUGACACACAGACCGUGCCCUGCGUAUCAGCCACACGUCACGUUCGUGCUGCAUGUUUAAUGCUGCCUUAUUGUAAAGAGCAAAAAAGGUGAUUGUUGGCUACAGGAAGCUUUGUAUCUGUGAUCCAAAUACAUACUCCUGCUGUCACCAGAGGACAGGGCAGCUUUCUUUACUGUCCACAGACUACAUGCGAGAGCUACCAGGCUAUCGCCAUGUCUAUCAAGGUCAUGAGGGCAGAUCCUUUUUUUUUUUUUUUUGCCUGUCCCGUUUGGCUCUUUUGCCAUCAGAAUUAUUGUCUAAAGGCGAAGAAAGAUGCCCAACGGAUUCACUGUAAAAACUGUGAUUUGGGUUAAUUAGUAUCUAAUAGGAAAGUAAUAGUAACUAUUACUCAGUAAAAACAUGUAUGUGUUGUUUUAAUUAAAUCUAAGCAAAAUUAAACAUUUUUGAGAUGUUCAGUUAUUUAAAUUUACACAAUUUUGUUUGGGGUAAAUUAAGCAAUAGUUUAUUGAGCAGAUUUAACAAAAAUGUAUGAGUACCAUGAAAAAUUAAGAAAUCUAAUAGAUUUAACUAAUGAAAGCAUUUUCAUUUCAAUGAUUCUACACUUCCGCCCGUAGUCAGUUGUGCCACGUGCAGGACACACACACUUCAGCAGUGGAUGAUCUCCAUUUUGUCCGAGGUUGAACGAGAUAGAGCUCCAUGUAAUCACUGAUGACCAAAUCGAGAAGUUGGUUCUUUCAUCGGGGAUCCCACCAACAGUAGAGGAGCUGCAAAGUGUUGUGUAGGAUACCUUUGGGAUUUCAAACGACUUCAGUCUUCAGUAUUUUAAACCACAAUUUCAGGACUACUUCACUAUUCGCAGAAGUGACCAGGAUCAGCUAAAGUUGUGCAUCACCCUGGUCAUCCUGCCAGUUUUCGGCAGCCCCUCUGAUCAACUGUCAACUGACUAUCACUCAUCAUCCAAUCCAGUUGUAUCCAGUGCAGACUCUGCUGCAACCACAUCUUCUCAGGACAAAAUUAUUCUCAAAAGGCAGAAGUUCACAGAACGUUGUGAGCCCUGGCCGAAGCUGUUCCCCAUUCCACAGUCUUCAUAUGAAACCGAAAUGUAACUGGAAAGAGCCACUGAGAGUAUAAAAAGAAUGGAAAUCUUCUGCCCACCUCCAAAGUAAAGACUGACAUUCUCGAGAAGUUGGCUGAAACUGUAUUUUCAAUUAUGGCCUAUUCUUCCUAUUAUUUUGGGGCAAGCACUAGUGAAGAAUUUCAGUGCAUACAAUCUAAAUCAAUCAGAAAAAUGUUAUAUUAUACAUUUUGUAUACGUUUUAUAUUCCACAAUAAAAGUUUGAAUGUU